rnacentral:lncRNA from 1 species
UUGAAUGAAAACUAGAGUAGCAAAAUACCUUUGAUAAGUUGAAGGAAUUACUCAUUAGUGCUCCAAUAUUAUAAUUAUAUGAUCCUAAUCUUCCUUGUACGGUGUCGUAUUACGUGAAGUCUUGCUUGAGAAUGCACCGAGCACCUAGCUGUAAAAGGUAAAAGAAAAUUGCAAUAAAAGGUCCUAACAAUCCAACAAGUUUAUAAAAAAUUUACAAUUAAAUGCUAACAAUCAUAAUCAAAUAUUAAGCAAGCUCAAUUAAAUUUUAUUGAAGUUAUAAAAGAAACACAAGGAAAUCCUAAAGAAAUAUAAAAGAAUAUUAAAGAAACUUAGUCAAACCCUAACAAAAAUCUAAUAGAACCUUAAAUUCUAACCAAAUCCUAAUUCAAAUCCAACCUUAAUCAAAUCCUAAAUAAACCCUAAAUCCUAAAUCAAAUCCUAAUCAAAUCUUAAUCCCUAAUCAAACCCUAAUCCAAACCCUAAACCCUAAAUCCUAAACCAAAUCCUAAUCCAAACCCUAAAUCCUAAACUAAAUCCUAUCCAAAUCCUAAAUCCUAAACCAAAUCCUAAUCCAAACUCUAAAUCCUAAAUCCUAAAUCAAAUCCUAAUCCGAAUCCUAAACCCUAAAUCAAACCCUAAUCCAAAUCCUAAAUCCCAAAUCAAAUCCUAACCAAAUCCUAAACCAAAUCCUAAUAAUUCUUAUAA